rfam:Zea mays cultivar B73 chromosome 1, whole genome shotgun sequence.
AUUUUUGUAUUUACCUUAAUCCACAUGUAUUGUGAUAUAUUGGAGUAGAACUUAAAUUAAUUUACACUCUAAUACACCUCAAUACAUGUGGAUUGAGGUGAAUACGAGA